CAUCACCGGUUUUUACACUCUUUAAAUCGAAACGUUCUCAAGUCAGCGGUAGCAAAUUCGGUUCUAACUGUACGUCAUGACAAACAUCCUUGAGUAACUUUGAUGUGAGGUCACGAAUGUCGUUGUGACGUCUCGUAACAAAGCCACCCAUCUUACACUUCAUGCUGUGUUCAACCUCAAAUCGAGCUCCACAAACGCAACUGCUGGGUAAGUUGGGAAUGCUCCAAUUGUAGCGUAGACGCAUAGCAUCCCAAAACUCUUGCUUGUUGAGAUAAAAACCUUGCUCAGUUAUUGGCAAUACAUUGAGUCAAUUGGAGACUCCUUUUUGUUGGUUGAUAUCGUUCACCUUAACUUGCUUUACCGUCAUGUUAUUUCUGCAUAGGGCCAGAUUCUCUUUCUGGAUAUCCAAUUUUAAAGCUUACCUCCCGAGAAAAAUUAAGUUGCCCUAAAUUGUCUCAUAUUCAUACGUGAUUUACGAAUAUAAAGUUUAUUUUCCUUAAUUCGCACUUAUAAGUUAAUAAUGCCUAUUCAAAGAUUCAAAAAUUCACCUCCGACACGAGGUAAAACAUCCGCAAUGUUGUUUUAUAAAUUUCUUCACCUUGAGUGCUCUGACUUCACCUGUUAGAAGAUCGUAAAUCAUCUUCCGCAUUGAAAUUUUUACUCAAACUUUAAUAGUGAAAUUCAUUGGUAAUGAGUAUGUUUACCCCCGUGAAAAUAUCAGGAAACUUUGAAAAUGAAUACUAACUUCGGUUGAGAAAUCAUCAUUCAAUUGCAAUACCGAGAAGCUGUGACGCAAAAAAAGAAAAAAAGAGCGACAGGGAAAAUGUUGUAGAAUUUCAAUUUGAGCAGGCGAAAUACUAGACCAAGCACUGACUCGGAUUUCAGUUGGGAGAGCUGUGAUGAGGAUACUAUUCAAGAAGAAGUCGCUUCACGUGUUGCUGUUGCUGUAAGGACGUGGUGCAAGUGUGAAAAGUGUAAGAUAAUGACGAGCGAAGCGGAGUGUCGUUGCUAUUGCGAGUUAGAAUCCGCGAAUAUAUUUAAUUUGAUCAGUGAGUUUUGAUAUGUGAACGUAUUCGAAUUAGAUAAUAGCGCAUGAGUUCGAUGAAUGACGAUAAAAAUGAAAAAAUCUUCUAACCUUCUUCUUUUUGUUUUUUUCUUUCAAACUCAGUUCUAAAGUCAAAGAACUCGGAAGUAAAAUGAGCUUCGCAGAUCUUAAAAUUAUUUGAAAGUGUAUCCUCUCUCUUGAUCAGUUUGAUCCAUAUAGUUCGUUGUUUUGGAUCUUUGGGAAAGUUGAAAAAAAAUACACCUUGUUUCUUUUGGUGGUUAAGACAACUAGGUAAGUGGGCAAGAAGCCAUCCUUAUUCAUCAACGUGUGGAACUUUUUUUUACAAAUCACAUCACAUCACAUACGCAAAGUUUCGCCUCUCAUCCCGGGGGUCCGAAUGUGAGCUUCUAACUAGUGACGUCAGGCGCAUAAUUAUACUCUUAAAUGUUCACUUGCAAAAUGGCGAACAAGUGAGGUGAAGGCUUAAAAACAUGAGGUAAACAUUGUCUGGUUUCUUGAAUACUGUAGUGAUUUUAAUAAAACAAACGUUAAAUUGUUUUUUCUGAAGAUGUUAUGAAUCGAUUUAGGUCAACUUGAUUUUUCUCGGGAGAGUCGACAAGACAUUUUGUGAUCAUUCUCGAAUUGUUAAAUUGUACUUGUGCGUCGUCAGGAAAAAUAGUGAGAUUCAAUCCACCAAGUCAUGUGGGAAGUGAUAGCAAAAGCCUUUCGUUUUCGGAGCAUAGAUGACCACCAGUUAUCGCAGGUAUGAAUUCGUUUCUGACGACUGUCUCUAUCGGUUGGAGUAAUUUUUUUAUGUCAGGAACGGUCUGGAGAAGAAAUGUCAAUUUAGCUUUAAAACCGGUUACAAACGCACAAUAAGAUGAUUGAGGUUCUAGUUCAGCAAUCUUUGAUAGAAGUUUUAGUUGUUCAACUAAACUUGCAACUUUGCUAUUAACAUAUUCAAUCUUGUAAGACUGACUACCAAUGACUGCACCAAGAUGACGUUGACCAGUCGAUGUUACCAAAAUAUUUGAUUCUGCAAGAUUUGCUCAGCACUAAGUAGAUACUCUUGUUUCACAAUUAGAUGGGAUUUAGUCCCUUUCGGGAAGUAGCCGUAUUUCGGACCGAUGUCAACGAUUUUCGACCAAAAUUCUUUAAUUUCGUAAAGUUUUCCAGCAACAGUAAAAUCAUCAGCGUAUGCAACCUCUUUAAGGGUGUGGUCAUUGGAACGUGUAUUGUUGAAAAGUGCUUUCAACAAUGGUAUGAUUCCAAUAGCAUACGAAGCCAUCGACGUCGGAUCGCCCUGCGUGGUGCCUUCCCUCGAAAGAAUCUCCUUUCCGCCUAUCACGAAUAAACGUGCAGGUACAGCAUAACAGUUGUUGAUGAACGUAGCAAUCAUUGGGCAUAACUUGGAAAUGUUACGCAGCAUUACCCUUCUAUUAAUUGAGUUAAAGGCAUUCUCAGCAUCGAUUAGAAGAACAGCCUCAGUAUCAUCGUUGUCGAAAAUGUCAUGCAUCGCAUGGACGGCUGCUUCAACACCAGCAUUUUGACCAGCACAAACUUGUAACGAACCUGCUGCUUUAAUUACGUUAUUUUUAGAUAUGUUCAUCACAAUCUUCCCAACUAUUCUACGAAGCACCUCACCAACACCAAUUGGUCGUAAACCAGGAUUUUUGUUUAACGGUAUUAAGCGGCAAGCAACAAAAGCUUCAAGCGGAGAUCUAUCAGAUUCUGGAAUAGAUUCAAUACACAGCUUCUUCGUUAUCUCGGCUAUGGCUUUACGUAGAUCAGUAUUGGUUGUACCAAAUGUGGACGAGCAAAGUAUACGUCUCCAUCCGUCAGCAUGCAAACCUGACGGACCAGAACCACCUUUGGUAUACGUGGCAGCUUUCAAUACCGUGUCUUCAUCAAUGAUAUCAAAAACAAUAUCAUGGAUUCGCUGUGACGGUUGAUCUAUUAACGUAUCUUCGCUAAGAUUCCCCUGAUCUGGAUGUUUUUGUUCCAAUAAUAAUAAUGGGAUAGAAGGAUACCUUGCGUCAUGUUGUCAGUUAAUAAUCGCAAAGCACUGUUGAUAUUUCCCUUCUGCAUGAACAAUCGAAAUUUUUUCGAAAUAGAUGAAAUAUCACUUUUCGGAUUUGGUGGUUGAAGUCUUUCUUGAAUAGCGACAGCUUCAUCAAAAAGUUCUAAUAAUUCGCCAUUCUCCCAUAGUGUCAAGCGCCGUUCUAAAGCUUGUGUAUGGUCUUUUGAUUUCGACUUCUUGCUGGGUUUUUGUAACAAAAGUGAAGGCAUUACAUGAAGUGCUUUUAACGAAAUAGGUUUCAUCGACGAAUCGUCGAUCCAAAGAUUUAUAAGACGUGUCAUUCUCGAAUAAACGAUUUUCCAGCCGCACCAGAAGGUAGUAAAAACAAAUUUGUUUUCCAGUAAACUAUUCUUUCAUAUGUAUAGUCUAAAUCAUGUGUAAAUUUUGAUUCCGGAAUGCUCUUCCAAUAAAAAUUCUCAUUUA